rnacentral:tRNA from 1 species
CGGGGCGUGGCCCAGCGGCAGGGCGCCUGGUUUGGGACCAGGAGGUCGGCAGUUC